AAAAUAAAGGCAACAGUAGUAUACCGCUGUUCAAAACUCAUAAAUCCAUGGACAAAAAAACAAAAUCGGGGUAACAAACUAAAACCGAGGGAAACGCAUUAAAUAUAAGAGGAGAACAACGACAUAACACCGAAACGUAACACACACAGAAACGGACCAAGCAUCAGACAAAACACCACGAGAAUAACAAAUAUAACAUGAAAACCAAAUACAUGAAUUUGGGAUAGACAAGUACCGUGCCACGUCUUAUCUCAAUUUCUCAAAAAUAAGAGAAAACACAAACGACUCAACGUUAAAAUGCAACACACACAGAAACUAACAAUAAUAUAACAAUGGCCAUCUUCCUGACUUGGUACAGGACACUUUUCAAGGGGAAUAAAAGUGGUGGGUUGAACCUGGUUUUGUGGCAUGCCAAACCUCGCACUUUAAUGGCAAAGUUAAAUAUAACAUUGAAAUGACAACAUAAUAUUACAGGACUACAAUACAAAUUAAUAG
rnacentral:lncRNA from 1 species